GUCUACAGCCGUAACACCCUGAAUGCACCUGAUCUUGUCUGAUCUCAGAAGCUAAGCGGGGUCAGGCCUGGUUAGUAUCUUGGAUGGGAGAUACUAGCGUAGGAUAGAGUGGAUGCAGAUA
ensembl:rRNA 5S_rRNA 5S ribosomal RNA